UACAGAGGUCCCAAGCGUUUGUUCGGAUUCACUGGGCGUAAAGGGUGCGUAGGUGGUCGGGUAAGUUUGAUGUGAAAGCUCCGAGCUUAACUCGGAAAUUGCAUUGAAUACUAUUCGGCUAGAGGGUUGGAGGGGGGGACUGGAAUUCUCGGUGUAGCAGUGAAAUCGUAGAUAUCGAGAGGAACACCAGUGGCGAAGGCGAGUCCCCUGGACAACUCCUGACACUGAGGCACGAAAAGCUGGGGGAGCAAAACAGGA
rnacentral:rRNA from 1 species